GAUUCUCUUUUAUAUAGUUUAAUGUAAAACAUUACAUUUUCAAUGUAAAAAUAAAUUAAUCAAUUCUAUAA
rnacentral:tRNA from 1 species